UUUCCGUAGGUGAACCUGCGGAAGGAUCAUUGAUGGGGCUGUGGAGCCUAUAAUACCUAUUCAAACCUUUGUGAACCGGGUCGUGAGACCAAGUCGUGGGAUCUCGGUCCUGCGCGCCUUACACACGUAUUAGUCCAGUCUAGAAAGAAAAAGUUAUACAACUUUCAACAAUGGAUCUCUUGGCUCUCGCAUCGAUGAAGAACGCAGC
rnacentral:misc_RNA from 1 species